GCUAAGCCCCUCCCAGUGUGUGAAGCACUCUGAAACACACCCAACUCCAGGCGAUAAUAAUCGCCAGAAAAAGGUUUUAUUAUCAGCAACUUUUCUCAGUGGCAGAAAUGGAGAAGCCCACUUCUACUUCCACCCUAAAGCUCCUCUGGUGCCCAGUUUCUCACUUCCUCAAGUGAAGUAGCCAGACCAGACAUAUCAAAGAGCUACUUGAUGACACACUUCUUCCCUACCACCUGCUGAGGAAGGAGCCUGGCCGCGGGUUCCUAUGAGACCCUAGAAGAAACGACCCUGAUUCUGCCACGUGGGCUUCAUUCUCGAACACUCCCCAGCCCCCACCUCCCCCUGGCGCCUGUGGCGCGGCCAGAAAUUCUGAUUGUCCACCGCCUAUCUGCCUAUGGCGCUAAUAAAGUUCUUACUCCCAGCA
rnacentral:lncRNA from 1 species